rnacentral:hammerhead_ribozyme from 1 species
AUCCAGUUGGCGAGUCCCAAAUAGGACGAAACGCGAGUCCUGGAU